rnacentral:misc_RNA from 1 species
AAACCUCGGAAAUCGAAGGCGAAAUCCUGAGGCGCGAGAGCGUCCAGUGCUCGUUGCGUCAGCAAUUCGGUCUUGAGGGCGACGAUACCAAUGUCAACGAAGCCGAGCAUGGCAUCGCGGAAAUGAUGGCGGAUCUCUACAAAAGAUUUGCCCCCCCUCCGACGCACGACAUGCUGUUCGAGUGGCACANGAUGAGCGGCGAUCGGCAAAUCCAGGACAUCGGCAGCUACCGCACCCAUCUCGAACCGAUGCAGGUUGUG